rnacentral:rRNA from 1 species
CGCGGUUAUACGUCGUUUGCAAGGUUAAAUUUUUUGGUUGGCAGAUUAUCGGGGUUGUGGGAAUUAUUAGCUUUAAUGUAUGGUGGAAUAUUCAUUAUUUUUUUUUAGUUUUUUAAGGUUUUUCUGUAAUAGCUAUAUAUUAAACUGGGAUUAGAUACCCCAUUAUUUUAGAUUUAAAUUAUUUCCAGGGAAGUAUUAAUUUAUUAUAUGAAAUCUAAAGAAUUUGGCGGCAUUUUAUCUUAUUAGGGGAACCUGUUCUGUAAAUGAUGAUACACGAUUGGCAUUACUAUAAUUUGAGGUUUGUAUAUUUCCGUUAUCAGGGAAUUUAAUGAUAAAAUACUCUUUUUUUUAUAUAAAAGUUAAUUUCAGGUCAAGGUGCAGCUUAUAAUAUAGUGUGAAAUGGGUUACAAUAAUUUAAUUUAUAUGGAUUUUUUUUUUAAAUUUGAAAUUGAAGGGGGAUUUAUUAGUAAGUUUUUAUAAUUAUGAAUUCUGAACUAGCUCUGUUUUGGGUACAUAUCGCCCGUCAUUCUCAUAUUUUGAAACAAGUCGUAACAUAGGGGAUUUACUGGAAAGUGAGUCUGGUUU